UAAUUGUCACCAUUCUUUCUUUCUUGAUUUCUGGAGGAAAGCUCUCUUUCAGCUUUCUGCUUUUAAAUGACUUACAUUUAGAAGUCAUUUAGACUUCUUUGUGUUUCUUUUUAAUUAAUAGAUUUAUUUUUUAGAGCAGUUUUAGGUUCACAGUAAAGUUGGGCAGAAAGUGCAGAGUUCCUACAUACCUGAUUCCUCCUCCCAUUUACAGAUUCCCCCACAAUCAGCAUCCUAUAUCAAUAUGGUACUUUUGUUACAAUUGAUGAACCAACAUUGACACAUCAUACUAAACCAAAAUCCAUAGUUUACAUUAGAGUUGCACAUUUAUGUGUUGUGAAUUCUUUGCACAUUCUAAGGGUGUCAUACAUUUUAUGGGUUUUGGCAAAUGUAUGAUUACAUGUAUCCACCACUAUAGUAUCAGGUAGAAUGGGUUCACUGCCCUGAACAUCCUGUGUGCUUCAUGUAUUCAUCCCUCCUUCCCCCUGGUCCUCGGGUAACCACUGAUCUUUUUACUGUCUCCAUAGUUUUGCCUUUCAUAGAAUGUCAUAUACUGACAUUGAAAUCAUAGCAUAUGCAGCCUUUUCAGAGUGGCUUAUUUCACUAAACAAUAUGCAUUUAAGAUUCCUGCUUGUCUUUAUGUAGCUCAGUAGCUCAUUUCUUUAUCACACUGAAUAAAAUUUCAUUGUGUAAUAUAGUUAAAAAAAAUUGAAUUGACCCAGUUUUAAGCUUUAGCUAGAGGCAGUCAGUUGCCAUUCUUGAGUGACCCAUUAAGUGCACACUCCCAACUGUCUCCCUUUUUAGGCUCUCAUGCAUUGAGCCAGUAUGUUCCCACCUCAAGCCCCUCCCAGGCCCGGCUAUAGACAACCAGUCACCGUCUCUACGCCCAAGAGCUCAUGGAAAUUAUUUGAACUACUCAAUCCUAAACUUGCUUACUGUGACUUGCCCAUUCUUUCCUGCUGAAACCAUGGCCAAGGUGCUUGCUCACAGUUCUCCUCUCUCCUUCCGUCUUGUGAGUGGCCCUGGUGCUUCCCCUGAGUGGCCCUGCAUAGCAAGCUAUAUUCUCCCCAGGGAACUGUGAGUGUAACUGACUGUAAAACUCUUUCCAAUUCCUCCCUCUUGAUCUGUGUCUGCCCUCACCAUACCUCACCCAAGGUAGUAUGUGUAAAUAGCAUCAUAUGGGUGCACCAGAGUUUAUUUAUACAUUUACUUGUUGAAAGACAUCUUGGUUACUUCCAAGUUUCAGCUAUUAUGAAUAAAGCUGCUAUGAACAUUCACAUGCAGGUUUUGGUGUAGUCAUAAGUUUUCAGAUCUGUUGGAUAAAUACCAAGGAGUAUGACUGCUGGAUCUUAUAGUGAGAAUAUGUUUGCUUUUGUAAGAAACUGCCAAACUAUUUUCUAAAAUGUCUGUACCAUUUUUCAUUUCCACUACCAAUGAAAGAGAGUUCUUGUUUUCCACCUCUUCGCCAGCAUUUGGUUUUGUCAGUGUUCUGGAUGUUAGCCAUUCUAGUAGGUGUAUAGUGAUACUUCCUUGUUUUAAUUUGAAAUUCCCUAAUAAUGUACAAUGUUGAGUAUCUUUUCAAUGCUUGCCAUCUGUAUAUAAUCUUUGGUGAACUGUCUGUCCAGAUAGUUUCUCAAUAUUUUAAUUGGAUUGUUCAUUUCCUUGUUGAGUUUUAAGAGUUAUUUCUCUAUUUGGAUAAUAGUCAGAUAUGUCUUUUACAUGUAUGUUCUUUUUAGAAUGCUAUCUGGUUCCCUGAGACUUCAUAGAUUUACUCUUAUAAUAGAUGGUUCUCUGUAGCCAUUUAGUUUCCAUAAAGGAAAAUGUUUUAUGAGUAUUUAUUAAAGGAAUAGGUUGAGGGAUACUGACUAUUAAAAAUUCUAUUGCUACUUACCAGAUGUUAAUCAAUCAUUGAGUCAAUCAAAUACUUAUCAGACACUUAAUAUUUUUCUAGACACUGUUGGAGAUAACACUGGUAAAAGGAGGUAAAAGGCCUGUUAUUGUUUUCGAUAGAUGUAUAGUCUAUUUUGACGUAAUGUAAAUAAAAUUUAGGGCUGGCUUUGUCAUACUAAUUAUAGGUGCAAUUGAAAUCCAGAGAGCAGGAGUUCAUGUGGACUGGAAUUAUUGAGCAAAGAUUCAUGUAUAACAUGAGGGCUGACCUAGGCUUGGAAGGUCAGGUAACCCAUGUACGAAUGGAAAGGAAAGGAUACAUGUAAUGUGCCAGAGCACCUUGUAGGUGUUUAUAAUGUGUGUGCCUCGAGCAUUGUAAACACUUAAUAUUUUUAUUACAUGGGUAGCUCCUCAAGAAGGAAAAGCAGAUAGCUCCUUUCUGACUGAUUUAUUUGAAAGGGCCAGUAGGACUCCAGUUCCUGUAUAAAGAUAGCACUGCUACCAUCUAUCUACUCCUACAAUACACAGUAGGUAUUUGUCUAGUCCAUUUGUGUUGCUAUAAAUGGAUACCUGAGGCUGGGUAAUUGAUAAAGAGAAGAGGUUUAUUUGGCUUAAGGUUUUGCAGGCUGUACAAGAAGCACAGCAUCAACAUCUGCUUCUGGUGAAGGUCUCAGGUUGCUUCCACUCAUGGUGGAUGGUGAAAGGGAGUCAGCACAUGCAAAGAUCAUACAGUGAGAGAGGAAAACAAGAACGUGGGCAAGGGGGUGCCAGACUAUUUUUAACAACCAGUUCUUGUGAGAACUAAUAUGGUGAGAACUCAUUACCACUAGGACGCGCCAAGCCAUUCUUGAGGGGUCCACCCUCAUGUCCUAAACACCUCCCAUUAGGUCCCAUCUCUGAUAUUGAGGAUCAAAUUUUAGCUUGAGGUUUGGGGAGAUACAUAUCCAACCAUAGCAUUCCACCCUUUUCCCAUCAAACUUCAUGUUCUUUUUACAUUGCAAAAUAUAGUCAUUUCAUCCUAAUAAUCUCCAAAAGUCUUAACUUGUUCUAGUAUCAACUCAAAAGUCCAAUGUUCCCAAUCUUAUCUGAGAGUCAAGAGAAAUUCCUUGCAGCUGGGAGCCUAUAAAAUCAAAAACAACUUAUUUACUUCCAAGAUACAAUAGUGGUACAAGCUUGCAGUAAACAUUCCCAUUCCAAAAGGGAAAAAUUGGCCAAGAGAAAGGGGUAACAGCUUCCAUGCAAGUUUGAAAUACAGCAGGGGGAAUAUUAAAUCUUAAAGCCCCAAAAUACUCUUUGACUCCAUGUGUCAUAUCCUGAGUACGUUGGUAUGAAGAGUGUGGCCCCAGUGGCUCUAGCAGCCCUGUCUCCAUGGUUUUGCUGAGUGUAGCCUACAUGGCUGCUAUUAUAGGUUGGAGUUCAGUGUCUGUGGCUUUUCUAGGUUGAAGUUGCACAUUGCUGGUGGCUUGAUAAUUCUGGGGUCUGGAGGGUUGUGGCUCUAUUUUCACAGCUCCACUAGGUAGUACUCUGGUGGGGACUCUGUCCAGGGGGCUCCAACUCCACAUUUCCCACUGCCCGAGUUGAGGCUUUCUGCAGUGGCUCCACCCCUGUGGCAGGCUUCUGUUGGGUGCCCAGGCUUCAUGAUACAUUCUCUGAAAUCUAGGAGCAAACUGCCAAGCCUCCACCAUUCUUGCAUUCUGUGCACCUACACACUUAACACUACGUGGAAGCCACCAAGGCUUAUGCCUUACACCCUCAGAGCAGUGGCCAGAUUAAUAUUUGUGGCCCUUUGACCCACAGCUGCGACUGAGGGAGGGAUGCACAGAGCAGCUGCUUGAGCUGGAGCAGAACAGCUGUACCCUAGGAAAUCAUUCUGUUUUCCUAGGUUGCUGGGCCUGUGAUGGGAGGAGUAGCCUUGAAAAUGUCUGAAACACCUUUGGGGCCUUUUCCCCAUUGUCUUGAUUAUUAGCACCUGGCUCCCUUUUAAUGAUACAAAUCCCUCUGGUGAGUGGUUGCUCUGUAGUGACCUUGAAUUCUUCUGAAAAUGCUCCUUCCUUCUCUACCACAUGGCCAGGCUACAUAUUUUCCAGAUUUUUAUGCUCUGCUUCCUUUUUAAUGGUAAGUUCCACUUUAGGUCAUUCAUUUGCUGCUGUAUAUGACCAUAAGCUGUUAAAAGCAACCAUGUUCCUUCUUGAAGCUUUGCUGCUGAGAGAGUUCUUCCCUUUAGAUACCCUAGGUCAUCAUUCUUAAGUUUGGCCCUAGGGCAUGGUCACAAUGCAGCUAAGUUCUUUGCUAUAGCAACAAGGGUGAUCUUUGCUUCAGUUCCGAGUAAGUUCCUCAUUUCCAUCAGAGACUUUAUCCAUUUGGACUUUGCUGUCUAUAUUUCUAUCAGCAUUUUGGUCACAACCAUGCAACCAAUCUCUAAGAAUUUCCAGACUUUUCUUUGUUUAUUUUUCUUCUUGUGUGUCCUCCAAACUCUUCCAACCUCUGCCCAUUAUCCAGUUCUGAAGCUGCUUCCACAUGUUCAGUUCCAGGUAAGACUGUGUCGGGGGAGACUUUCUCCUACAGACCCCACCUCUUUAAUCUGGCAGCUUUCACUGUGGUCCGCUACCCUACUCAGAAGAUAUCCUGUGGGUGGAGUGGAGAGGUCUAGGUCUGACUUCUUGAAGCUGGGAGAGCUUGUGUCACGCUGAGUGGGAAUCCUGGCCACUUUGAACAUCUGUGGAGCAUACUUCUCCUCCAAAACAGAAAUAACUGAGCAAGUAAGGCAACCUUCCUCUUCUAAACAAAGGGAUUCCGUCACAUCAUCUGGGCCCAUUAUAGGGUGUUUUCAAAUUUCCAUAAGCUCAGUCAAAUUUAAGACUUCACUAAUUUGGGCAUGUGAUCAGUUAGGAGGCGCUAGACUGAAAUACGGAGUAGUGGUUCAGUGCACAGCGUUAGGAGUCAGACCUGGUGGGAAUCCUGGCUUUGCCACUUAUUAGCUGUGAACUUGAACAAUUUAUUUAUUUGCUCUCAGACUGCUUUCUCUUCUGUAGAACUGAAACAAAAUACCUAAUUAUAAUGUAGUUUGGGGGUUUUUUUGAGACAGAGUUUGGCUCUUAUUGCCCAGGCUGGAGUGCAAUGGAGCAGUCUCGGCUCACUGCAACCUCCACCUUCUGGAUUCAAGUGAUUCUCCUGUCUCAGCCUCCUGAGUAGCUGGGAUCACAGGCAUGCAUCACCAUGCCAGCUAAUUUUAUAUUUUUAGUAGAGAUGGAGUUUCUCCAUGUUAGUCAGGCUGGUCUUGAACUCCCAGCCUCAGUUGAUCUGACCGCCUUCGUCUCCCAAAGUGCUGGGAUUACAGGCAUGAGCCACCAUGCCUGGCCAAUUAUAAUGUAGUCUUGAGGAUUAAAUGAGAUAAGGAAUGCACAACAGUUCAUGAUUAAAAAGUAGUCCCUUUUUCAUAUUAAUAUUUAAAUUAUUCUAAGCCCUUAUCCUGCUGGUUAUAAGAAGUCCAAUUCUCUGUUGGAUCCCCCUACUCCAAGUUUUUGUUUGUUUGUUUGAUUUUAUUUCAAUAGGGGGAACAGGUGGUUUUUGGUUACAUGGAUAAGUUCUUCAGUGGUGACUUCUGAGACUUUGGUGCACCUGUCACCUAAACAGCAUAUACACUGUACCCAAUAUGUAGUCUUUUAUCCCUCACUCCCCUCUCCUCCUUCCCCCCAAAUCCCCCAAAUUUAUUAUAUCAUUCAUAUACCUUUUUGUCCUCAUAACUUAGCUCCCACUUAUAAGUGAGAAUAUACACUAUUUGUUUUUUUCAUUCCUGAGUUACUUAGAAUAACUCCAUCCAGGUUGCUGUGAAUGCCAUUAUUCCAUCCUUUAUAUGGCUGAGGAGCAUUCCACGGUGUAUAUGUACUGAUUUUCUUUAUCCACCUGUUGCCUGAUGGGCAUUUAAGUUGGUUUCAUAUAUUGCAAUUGUGAAGUGUGCUGCUAUAAACAUGCAUGUGCAAAUAUCUUUUUCAUAUAAUGACUUCUUUUCCUUUGAGUAGAUAACCACUAGUCUCCAAGCUAUUUUGGGGAACAUGGGAGAAAGUAGUUUAUAUUUUUAUUUUUUUAAGACACAGUCUUGUCCUGUCACCCAGGCUGGAGUGCUGCAGUAGCACCAUCUCAGCUCAUUGCAACCUCUGCCUCCUGGGUUCAAGCAAUUCUUCUGCUUCAGCCUCCCGAGUAGCUGGGAUUCAGGUAUGUGCCACCACACCUGGCUAAUUUUUGUAUUUUUACUGGAGAUGAGGUUUCGCCAUGUUGACCAGGCUGGUCUCGAACCCCUGACCUCAAGUGAUCUGCCUCGGUCUCCCAAAGUGCUGGGAUUACAUGUGUGAGUCACCAUGCCUGGCCCAAAGAAAGUAGUUUUAAAUUCUACAUGUUAACCGGGUAGUCAUUAUUCCACUGAAUCCUUUCUGUUGCUCCAGAUGUCUUGUGUAACCUCUUGCUAUUAUAUAGCUCAGUUCUCUGGACUUGAAUUCAAAUGAAGCUCCAGCUAGCUCAUAUAAUGUAUUGUGUCAAUCAGCAAAAAGUGAUCCUUCCAAAUAGGGCCAUGACUUCAUGAACACAGUAGGCCUUUGAAUGAAUUAGAAAACAAUGUCCUGUCUUUCCAGGUGGACUCAGCCCGAUGUCAGGAUCCACAGUUUGUUGAAGAGAGUGCAGGCUGCAUUUCAACCCUCAUUUCUCUCCUUAGCCAGAUGCUUUUGGACAAUUAAAAAUCCAAUACAAGCAAUGGCCUUGGGUAGUCCCUAGCUGCAUGUAACUGGCUUAAACAAAAUAGAAGUUUAUUUCUUGCUCAUGUAAAAGGAGGUAGGACUUCCAGAAUUGAUCUGACGAUUUCAUGCUAUCAUCAGAGUCUUGGUUUCUGUUUUUCUGCUCCACCAUCCUAAGUAUGUGCCUUUCAGUGUUAAGGUUAUUUAAUGGUCCAUGACUCAUAUCCAAGUUCUAAAUGGUCGGAAGGAGGAAGGAUGGAAGAUGAGUGUGCCCUCAUGCACAUAAGGAUUCUUUUACAUAAAUCUUGUUGACCGAAGCUUCAUCAUAUGACUACACCUGUCUGCAAAGGAAACUCAGAUAUGUAUUAGUUGUAUCAUUGAGGAGGUGGGGAAAAUGGAUAUUGAGGAUGGGCCAUUGGCAGUUUCUCACAAGGCUUUUCUCAUUUACAGCUCUACGUUACUCUAGGCAGGGAGCCAGAGCACUCCCUUACCAUGACCACUCCCUCUUCUGAUGCAAAACAGCUCAGAGUCUAAUUUAAGAAAAUUUAAUUGAAUGCAGAGGAUGAUAAGAAAAUAACACUGCAGAGAGCUGAAGGCAAUAUUGCAUAAUGGUUAAGCACAUUCGCUCUAGAGUCAGAUUGUCUGGGUGAAACACUGGCUCUGUGAUAAUUGCUAAGCUAUGAGACUAUGGGCAGCAUUUUUCCCUAACCUUUCUGGGCUUCUGGUUUCCCAGUCUGCAACAUAAUAGGGUUGUUAUGUGUAUUAAAUGAAAUAAUACACAUGUAGUCCAUUUAGUGCAGAGUGGCUAUAUUCCUACAAAUUAGCACUCUAAAGGAUUUGAGGGCAGACAGGAGUUGAUAUAUAUCUCUGGCCAUGGUUUCUUGGUGAUACCACUUACGAGAAUAUCGGUUUAUCCUUCCACUCUGCAGUCAUAUUUAUGAAGUGAUAUUUAUGAAAUACCAACCAAUACCUAAGUGACUGCUGAUCUUUACCCUGGGCUUGCUUUAUUGUAUCCUUGAACAGCCAGAAAACUUGCAUUUGAAGAGUCAGCAUAAUUCUCAUUCUUUGUGGCAAGUUGAACACUUCAUUUUCUUACCCUUGUCGGCCAUUAUGCAUUAAAACUAUUUGCCAGAAAUAAAUGGCAAAAAGAGAAUGCACAGAGGGGUAAAGACUACAGAAUGUGCUCGGCUCUUUGAGUGUUUCCAGCAUCUGACUCUGAUGCCCAUUAGCUACAAGUCCGCAGUCUGGUCUGCCCUGCUGGCUUUCCUGUAUUUGUCCACGUGGGAGUAUACAGACGAUAUGGGAUGGCCAUCUAGAAAUAUUUAUCUUCUUUUUUUUUUUCCGAGAAAGAUGUUUUAGAGAAAAAUAGAAUUAUAAUGCAUCAGUGCUGUGACAGGUAUUAAACAGGUUAGAGGUGUAUAUGACAUUCAAACUACUUCACUGAGAGAAAGUCCUCAAUAAGUGUUCAGAGAAAAAGUAAAAAUGAUUAUAUACAUGACUGUCCGCAAUGACUCCUUUCAGGGUUGCAGGCUCUGAUCCCCAUUUGAAAGUCUUGCUUUGCUUUCUAUGGGCUCCCAAGCAGCGGAGGGCCCACUUCUCAUGGGUCUCUCUCCUCAUGUACUUCUCAUGUCAGACACCCCAAGUGUCUCAGUCCACAGCAUAUGAGACUGGUGGGGAUCCUCCCUUGCCUCCCUCCAAGGCCAUGUUUUUUCCUGUCUGAGCAUGACUGACAGUGGAAACUCAUUUUCUUCAGGGGAUGCUCCUAACCCACACAGAGGACAGUCUGAACUCUAUGGUCCUGACAAUUACUAAAGUUCAGAGUACGUUGCUCAAAAAGUAGGUUUUCUCCACCUUUGUUUGUGGCUCCAAGUUUCAGUCUAAAUCUAUAUUUUAAAAAAAUUCUCUACAUCAGCAAGUAUAUGGCAUAGUUAAAGCUACCUCUAGUUUAUAUUAUAAUACAUAAAACAAUAUCUUGAGCUAUAGCAUCAUCAUUAGGACUUUAAGUGACUUCAGUUUUUUUUUUCUCUAGACAACUAUGGAUAGGAACUAGCUUUACAGUAGUAAUAGUACAUUUUCCUGAUAAUAAUAUCAACUUUCUGCUUCCAAAAAAUGUCCCAAAGAUCUCCAUCUAGAAAAGCUGAAAACCCUCAACCAGUCCUGAAUUGCGCUUCAAAUGCUUAAAAAGAAAAUAAAAAUACUUUUUUCACUGAGGAACCAACUUGCUAGUGUUUAUUUAGCACAUGAUAAGCAGGAAAACAGUAUCCAUUGUCCCUACCUGUUCCUAUCCAAAGAGGACUUUCUGUGGCUUUGAGUAAAGGACUUAUGUUAAAUAAGGUUACAAAACUGUAAAAACAGGAUCCUGUAAAAAAAAAAAAAAAAAAAGACCUAUGUUCACUGUAAAAGGCAGUAUAUUACUGUGAGCUUCCUUGCAGCAAGGACAAAGAAAGGAAAUUCAUCAAGCCUUUUAACUCGGCAAUGAACAAGUACACCGAUUCUUCAAGAGAGCAGGUUUUUCGUGGCAGUGCAUCCUACAGGCUGAGAGACAUAAUAGGCAGUGUCCUCGAAAAAGCUAAAGGCACGGGGUUUUUGUGCAACUUCACACAAUUCUAAGGGCAUCUAGGCUUAUGAGGAGGUCUGCCUGGACUGAUAGGCAGACAUCAAAAUACCUUGGAGAGCAGAAGAGAGGCAUGUACUUUUCAAAAUAUCCCUUCCUCUCAGACAUUUGAAGAUGAACUGUCAUUUUCAGAAGAGGUGAUAAAGACCAGAGGAAUAUUUGAUAGAGUUGAAUUUGAGCUUUGGAGAAGUUGUAUUUAUUGCUGAGUGCAUUGGGUAUAAUGACAGACAUGUUAAUAACUACUUAAAUAUUAAAUACCAGUUUGUCUUUUCAUGUUUUUAGUCAUAAAAA